rnacentral:rRNA from 1 species
UCCGGAGGGGGCUAUCGUUGUUCGGAAUUACUGGGCGUAAAGCGCACGUAGGCGGUCUUUUAAGUCAGAGGUGAAAGCCCGGGGCUCAACUCCGGAAUUGCCUUUGAAACUGGAAGACUUGAACACGGGAGAGGUGAGUGGAAUUCCGAGUGUAGAGGUGAAAUUCGUAGAUAUUCGGAGGAACACCAGUGGCGAAGGCGGCUCACUGGACCGUUGUUGACGCUGAGGUGCGAAAGCGUGGGGAGAAAACAGG